rnacentral:rRNA from 1 species
AAUAGAUACCCGGGUAGUCCACGCCGUAAACGUUGGGCGCUAGAUGUGGGGACCAUUCCACGGUUUCCGCGUCGUAGCUAACGCAUUAAGCGCCCCGCCUGGGGAGUACGGCCGCAAGGCUAAAACUCAAAGGAAUUGACGGGGGCCCGCACAAGCGGCGGAGCAUGCGGAUUAAUUCGAUGCAACGCGAAGAACCUUACCAAGGCUUGACAUAUGCGAGAACGCUCUAGAAAUAGAGAACUCUUUGGACACUCGUAUACAGGUGGUGCAUGGUUAUCGUCAGCUCGUGUCGUGAGAUGUUGGGUUAAGUCCCGCAACGAGCGCAACCCUCGUCGCAUGUUGCCAGCACGUAAUGGUGGGAACUCAUGUGAGACUGCCGGGGUCAACUCGGAGGAAGGUGGGGAUGACGUCAAAUCAUCAUGCCCCUUAUGUCUUGGGCUUCACGCAUGCUACAAUGGCCGGUACAAAGGGCUGCGAAACCGCAAGGUGGAGCGAAUCCCAAAAAGCCGGUCUCAGUUCGGA